AUGGUGAAGGAGAAGACGGCGGCGCUAGAGCGCGCGAAGAAGGCGAUGGCGACGGGGAAGGCAAAAGGAAGAGCGACCAGCCGGGGCGGGUCUUCGUCCAGGUCCCGCCUGCCGCAAGGCUGGGUCCAAGGGGAUUGGAUCCGGUCGACCAUCACCGAGAAAGAUCUCGCUGAUAUGGCCAACGAUGGUUUGAUCCCCCACGGAGCAGCGAGGCUCCCGGGGAACGAGUGUCAACCACAGUCGGAAGAGGGUGAGUGUGUUCUUCUGGCCACCCACGUCGACCGUGGAUUUUCUCUGCCUCCGAGUGUUUUCUUCCGUGGUUUCUUGAAUUUCUUUGGUGCGCAACUCCAUCACUUCAAUCCGAAUUCCAUCACAUACCUUGCUGCCUUCGUGUCCAUGUGCGAGAACUUCCUGGAUUGCCGACCGCACUGGGGUCUGUUCAAGCACAUAUUCACUUGUCGUUCUCAGACAGUGAAAAAGGCGAGUCCAGAUGACGAUAAGACCAAGGUUAUUCAGAUGUGUGGAGGUCUGGGGAUCCAGAUGAGAAACAAGAGCACCUUUCCGGGCAUGACCCUCCCUGAGUCGGUCAGAGGAUGGCAGUCGACUUGGUUUUACUGCCAAAACGAGUCGACGCCGGGGCAGUCGAGUGGUCUCCCUCCGUUCUCUAUGGACCGAGCGCAGAAGCCCUCUUCUCUGAAGGUGCUCCCUGAGGAGAAAGCCUAA
rnacentral:rRNA from 1 species